AACGAACGCUGGCGGCAGGCUUAACACAUGCAAGUCGAGCGCCCCGCAAGGGGAGCGGCAGACGGGUGAGUAACGCGUGGGAAUCUACCCAUCUCUACGGAAUAACGCAUGGAAACGUGUGCUAAUACCGUAUACGUCCUUCGGGAGAAAGAUUUAUCGGAAAUGGAUGAGCCCGCGUUGGAUUAGCUAGUUGGUGGGGUAAAGGCCUACCAAGGCGACGAUCCAUAGCUGGUCUGAGAGGAUGAUCAGCCACACUGGGACUGAGACACGGCCCAGACUCCUACGGGAGGCAGCAGUGGGGAAUAUUGGACAAUGGGCGCAAGCCUGAUCCAGCCAUGCCGCGUGAGUGAUGAAGGCCCUAGGGUUGUAAAGCUCUUUUGUCCGGGAAGAUAAUGACUGUACCGGAAGAAUAAGCCCCGGCUAACUUCGUGCCAGCAGCCGCAGUAAAAC
rnacentral:rRNA from 1 species